rnacentral:rRNA from 1 species
AGACCCGGAAGGCGCGGGCCUUAGUGGCGGACGGGUGAGUAACGCGUGGGGAACCUGCCCCGUACCGGGGGAUGACACCUGGAAACAGGUGCUAAUACCGCAUAACAGAAGGGGACGCAUGUUUCUUUCUUGAAAACUCCGGUGGUACGGGAUGGACCCGCGUCUGAUUAGCUGGUUGGCGGGGUAACGGCCCACCAAGGCGACGAUCAGUAGCCGGCCUGAGAGGGCGGACGGCCACAUUGGGACUGAGACACGGCCCAAACUCCUACGGGAGGCAGCAG